AUAUUUAACAGUUUUACUCUAGUUGGUUUUUUUUGCAUUCGAAAUUGCAUUUUUUAUUUUUUGUCGUUUUUUCCAUACAAAUUCAUAGCAAUUGGUAUGCGUGUAUGUGUGUGUUCCUAUUCGUCUUUGUGUUUGUGUGUGUGUGUAUGUGUGUGUGUCUAUACAUUAUCUUUUAAGCUCGUGUGUAAACGUAUUUGCUUUGCAUUCAGUUUAUCUAUCUUGUGUGUAUUCUGUUUUUUCUGCUCUUCUGAUCCUCUGGCUUCUCGCUUCUUGCCAAUUGCUAUAUUGAGUUCAGUUUCUUGAUAUA